UGCUGUGGUAAUUUGCAGACUCCAGUGGGAACGGUGGCAUUCCUCAUGGCUUAAACGCACCAAUACUGCGGGUCAGAGCUCCAUUUGUCUUCUGUGUUUUUGCUCCAGAAAUAAACAAUGAUGAGAUCGAAGGGAAGAGAAAGGAAAAAGAGAAACUGCCAGAUCGCCCAGAUCUUCUAAAGUGCAGAACCGAGGCUUGUUUGGAGGUUAACUGAUCAACAACAGCACAAAAGAUGAUUAAUUUGGCACGUAUUCAUGAUAAAUACGGGCUGAAGAAGUUUUGGGAAGAGAAGAUCGAAAGCCACGUUCAGAGGAUAGGAAAUGAAGACUCGAGAAUGAAGAACAGCGCUUUAUCCAAGUUACGUGAGGAGUGGGUCCAGAGGCUUCAGUUUCAGAACCAGCAUGUGAUCGAGAGCAUGAGAGAGCAACAAAUAAGAAGAGCUCAGAGAGUUCAAGGGAUUUUAAGAGUUUAGAUGGCUUGAAUGAUUUUAGCACUUUUCUAACGCACUUCCUAAGAAUGCCUAACGUCAUAUAUCAGUAUAAAGUUCUGUUUCUUUAACUUAAAUGAGUUAAAGAGGUUGUUUUUGCUGCAGCUUUUGGGACAGAAAGCCACUAUUGCAGCCAUACACCAUUAAACACAACGUGAUCCUCCCUUCCAGCAUUCGUCUUUCAUAUAUGGUUCAUUGAUUAGAGUUUUCUUUUCAAUAAAAGUUAAAUAUCAUACGUUCACUAUGCAGGCUUUUAAUGCUUUAUGCU